GAUGAACGCUAGCGACAGGCUUAACACAUGCAAGUCGAGGGGCAGCAUGAGGUAGCAAUACCUUGAUGGCGACCGGCGCACGGGUGAGUAACGCGUAUGCAACCUGCCCGAUACCGGGGUAUAGCCCAUGGAAACGUGGAUUAACACCCCAUAGUACUUCUAUCCUGCCUGGGAUGGGAGUUAAAUGUUCAAGGUAUCGGAUGGGCAUGCUUCCUAUUAGUUAGUUGGCGGGGUAACAGCCCACCAAGACGAUGAUAGGUAGGGGUUCUGAGAGGAAGGUCCCCCACAUUGGAACUGAGACACGGUCCAAACUCCUACGGGAGGCAGCAGUGAGGAAUAUUGGUCAAUGGACGAGAGUCUGAACCGGCCAAGUCGCGUGAGGGAAGACUGCCCUAUGGUUGUAAACCUCUUUUAUAAGGGAAGAAUAAGUUCUACGUGUAGAAUGAUGCCUGUACCUUAUGAAUAGGCAUCGGCUAACUCCGUGCCAGCAGCCGCCGUAA
rnacentral:rRNA from 1 species